rnacentral:SRP_RNA from 1 species
UUGUGCUAGGCGGGGAGUUAGCGGUGCCCUGAACCCGAAAACCGCUUUAUGCGGGGCUGAAUCCCCUGUCAAGGGUUCGCCCCCGAUAAUCCGGGGAUCUCCCGGCCGGACACCGCGCAACAACCGGUCAUGAACCUCGUCAGGUCCGGAAGGAAGCAGCGAUAAGUGAUGCGGGUUGUGUCGCGGAUCGACCCCGGCCACCCAUAGGUCCUUGUUUUACCGGGAAGAACUCGAAGCAGGGUGCACAA